rnacentral:rRNA from 1 species
UGGAGGUAGUGACAAUAAAUCACAAUGCGGAACCUUUGGUUUUGCAAUUGGAUUGAGAAGAAGGUACAAAUCAUAUCGAUAAACAAUUGGAGGGCAAGUCUGGUGCCAGCAGCCGCGGUAAUUCCAGCUCCAAUAGCGUAUAUUAACGUUGUUGCAGUUAAAAAGCUCGUAGUUGAAGUUGGAUGAGUAUUUGAAUUCAAUUUUCGAAUUGGAUUGAAAUACUUAUCAUUUCUAGUAGUUAUGCUUGGGUAUUCAAUUACUUGAGUAUGAUAGCUAGUCAUUUACUGUGAGAAAAUUAGAGUGUUUAAAGCAGACGUUUGUUUGAAUAGAUUAGCAUGGAAUAAUAAUGAUAUGCUUGAUUUCAUGUAUUGGUCAUGAAAGAUAGCAAGAUUAAAAGGGACAGUUGGGGGUAUUCAUAUUCAAUAGUUAGAGGUGAAAUUCUCGGAUUUAUGGAAGAUGAACAAGUGCGAAAGCA